CACGCGGUAAACGAUGAAUACUAGAUGUCGGGUAGCAAAGCUAUUCGGUGUCGUCGCAAACGCAAUAAGUAUUCCACCUGGGGAGUACGUUCGCAAGAAUGAAACUCAAAGGAAUUGACG
rnacentral:rRNA from 1 species